rnacentral:rRNA from 1 species
GAUGAACGCUGGCGGCGUGCUUAACACAUGCAAGUCGAACGAAGCACCUUGAUUUGAUUCUUCGGAUGAAGAUCCUGGUGACUGAGUGGCGGACGGGUGAGUAACGCGUGGGUAACCUGCCUCAUACAGGGGGAUAACAGUUAGAAAUGACUGCUAAUACCGCAUAAGACCACAGCACCGCAUGGUGCGGGGGUAAAAACUCCGGUGGUAUGAGAUGGACCCGCGUCUGAUUAGGUAGUUGGUGGGGUAACGGCCUACCAAGCCGACGAUCAGUAGCCGACCUGAGAGGGUGACCGGCCACAUUGGGACUGAGACACGGCCCAAACUCCUACGGGAGGCAGCAGUGGGGAAUAUUGCACAAUGGGGGAAACCCUGAUGCAGCGACGCCGCGUGAGCGAUGAAGUAUUUCGGUAUGUAAAGCUCUAUCAGCAGGGAAGAAAAUGACGGU